rnacentral:rRNA from 1 species
GAGUUUGAUCGUGGCUCAGAUUGAACGCUGGCGGCAUGCCUUACACAUGCAAGUCGAACGGCAGCACGGGAGCUUGCUCCUGGUGGCGAGUGGCGAACGGGUGAGUAAUGCAUCGGAACGUAUCCUGGAGUGGGGGAUAACGUAGCGAAAGUUACGCUAAUACCGCAUAUUCUGUGAGCAGGAAAGCGGGGGACCUUCGGGCCUCGCGCUCUUGGAGCGGCCGAUGUCGGAUUAGCUAGUUGGUGAGGUAAAGGCUCACCAAGGCGACGAUCCGUAGCAGGUCUGAGAGGAUGAUCUGCCACACUGGAACUGAGACACGGUCCAGACUCCUACGGGAGGCAGCGAGUGGGGAAUUUUGGACAAUGGGGGCAACCCUGAUCCAGGCCCAUGCCGCGUGAGUGAAGAAGGCCUGGUUG